GGAUUGAGAGGGAAGAUGAGAGGGGAAGGUAGGAGUAACAAAAGUUGAAAGAAAAAUUAAAAAUUGAAAUCUACUUGAAAUUGUUUUCACUUUUGUUACUCAUCUCUCCCACCCUUCCCUCUCAUCCUCUCUCAUUCUUAUGA
rnacentral:miRNA from 1 species